GCUGGGCCUCUUUGCUGAGAUAUUUGUAUCUUCAAUAGUCACAGGGUACAGUCAUCAACGAAAAUGAAGCACUGCAGAUGCUGGAAAUCUGAAACAAAAACUGAAGCUACUAGAGAAACUCAGCAGGUCUGGCAGCAGCCGUGGAGAGAGAAAUGUUUUGGAUCCAGUGACCCUUCCUGUUGGUGUUACAACCCAAUUAGACAGAAUCAAUGGUCGUUGAGUGAGAAAUUGAUGCUGAAGACUUGGAAAAAGAGCACUUUGUAAGGGAGUAAAAUAAUUCAUUUUCCAAAAUCAAUCAAGAUAGCUACACCUCUUCCCUCCCUGACACCACAACCUUCCCAGGAUUAACUUGCUGGGCCAAACUUCACUGACGAGGAUAGAUUGGAGACAUUGGAACAACUCUCCUCAGAGAACAAGGCAGAAACGAGAUAUCAGUGAAGUCUUCAAAAUCCUGAGACAAAAAUCAAAAUUGCUGGAAAAGCUCAGCAGGUCUGGCAGUGUGAAGACACCCUUCCUCAGAACUUGA